GCUUUGAAUCAAUGUUCUGUGGGUCAUAAGUAGCUAUUGCUAAAAUAAGCAGCAAAAUUACCCAAUAAACAGCCUGACCUGCAGCUCAGCUCUUUAAUGCAGCAGAUGGAAGUCAUUCAGAGUGUCAGCCCUUUGAAAUUUGUGACUGUGAGAGUGAGAGGAGUGGGUCCCUCUUACUGAAUUUCUUGCUUUGGGAGAGAAAGGAGGAGAUGUCUCUGAGGAUGUGGAAGAGGAAUCCAAGUCCCAUGAAGAGGAGGUUCUGUCUGCAACAACAAAUGGCAGAAGGAAAGAAAAAGCAUCUAGAAUCAAGAUUCUACAAGCAGUCAACACAUCCCACAACAAUGCCUGUGUUAUACUUAAUGUUAUGCAGUGCUUUCCUUCAUUUCCCUGUCCUAACAAACUGUGCUGCUAGGGUGCUUUUCAACAGAUGCUGGGUUUCACUCUUGGUGUGUGUCUGCUGUUCAGUAGAGAGUAUGAAUUCCAUAUUCAUCAUUUCUACUUGGAGCCUGCUGCAAAG